rnacentral:rRNA from 2 species
CCCGGGCCGGUUCUCGCUUAAGCAAUUAUACCGUGAAACUGCGAAUGGCUCAUUAAAUCAGUUAUCGUUUAUUUGAUAGUACCUUACUACUUGGAUAACCGUGGUAAUUCUAGAGCUAAUACAUGCUGAAAACCCUGACUUCGGAAAGGGUGUAUUUAUUAGAUAAAAAACCAAUGCCCUUUGGGCUCUUUGGUGAUUCAUGAUAACUUAACGGAUCGCAUGGCCUUGCGCCGGCGACGGUUCAUUCAAAUUUCUGCCCUAUCAACUUUCGAUGGUAAGGUAUUGGCUUACCAUGGUUUCAACGGGUAACGGGGAAUUAGGGUUCGAUUCCGGAGAGGGAGCCUGAGAAACGGCUACCACAUCCAAGGAAGGCAGCAGGCGCGCAAAUUACCCAAUCCCGACACGGGGAGGUAGUGACAAUAAAUACUGAUACAGGGCUCUUUUGGGUCUUGUAAUCGGAAUGAGUACAAUUUAAACCUCUUAACGAGGAACAAUUGGAGGGCAAGUCUGGUGCCAGCAGCCGCGGUAAUUCCAGCUCCAAUAGCGUAUAUUAAAGUUGUUGCAGUUAAAAAGCUCGUAGUUGAAUCUUGGGCCUGGCUGGCCGGUCCGCCUCACCGCGUGUACUGGUCUGGCCGGGCCUUUCCUUCUGGAGAACCUCAUGCCCUUCAGUGGGUGUGUUGGGGAACCAGGACUUUUACUUUGAAAAAAUUAGAGUGUUCAAAGCAGGCCUUUGCUCGAAUACGUUAGCAUGGAAUAAUAGAAUAGGACGUGCGGUCCUAUUUUGUUGGUUUCUAGGACCGCCGUAAUGAUUAAUAGGGAUAGUCGGGGGCAUCAGUAUUCAAUUGUCAGAGGUGAAAUUCUUGGAUUUAUUGAAGACUAACUACUGCGAAAGCAUUUGCCAAGGAUGUUUUCAUUAAUCAGUGAACGAAAGUUAGGGGAUCGAAGACGAUCAGAUACCGUCGUAGUCUUAACCGUAAACUAUGCCGACUAGGGAUCGGGCGAUGUUUCUAUCUUGACUCGCUCGGCACCUUACGAGAAAUCAAAGUUUUGGGUUCUGGGGGGAGUUGCCCCC